AAUAAUUGAAUCAGUUUUUACCUUAAAAUAUACGUAUAUAGUUUAUUAUUGACAUCUGAAGCAUGUAUGUUAGUAUCGAUACAAAAAGGAUUGUCGCAUGUUUGAUAAUAAAUAAAAAGGUCAUGCCGUCAGUACCGCAAACAGGAUCGUAGUAGGGUGGACAGAUCUUUUGGCAGCCACGGAAUAAGAAUCCUUGCACGCACCUCUUCAUGGGCA
rnacentral:misc_RNA from 1 species